CCGCCCCCCCCCCCCACAAGAGACGGGCCCGGCGCUGAGUUGGGGGGGAGCCCGGGUGGGGCUGCCGCCUCCUUGCACCGCGCCCCGGGAGGGGCUUCCUUCCAGUUCUCCUUCUUACGGCUUCACCACUGGUGUGGUCAACACAGCAGGCAAAAUUAACCCGACUAAAGUGUUUGAUCUACAGAUAAGAUACUCCUAUGCAUUUUGCAAGUUCAGUUUAGGAUGACCUGCACUGAUACCUGUUUUCACUAACUGGAAGAGAUCUGAAGAGGACUUUUGCUCUUAGGAGGACAGCAAACAUUUGCUGAGCCCCUGCUGUGGGCUACACCGCAAGGAGGAAGUUAACGGUGCAGCCUGAUGCCUGCUUUCAGGACGUGUACGGUCUAGUAGACAGAAGAAGACACUGUAAAGGACUGGGAGUGAAAUGUCAGAUUCCCAGGGUUAUUAUGCUGAAGAUCCGAUUUCCCUUCAAGAAAUUCUCUCUGGCUCCUGCGAAUGGAACAGCGGAUGGAGGAGAGACAUGGCUGCCCAUCAGCUGCUACCUCCGCUGGCACUGAGUCGCCUUCUUUGUGAAUUUCCUGCAAGCAGAGCGCUGCCCUGAAGCUCCUCUCUUGUUUCGCUCUUUCCUGGUGGCUGACCUGCCUUCAGUCCUCUAGAGUGGAAGCUCCAUGAAGCAGGGAGCUUUCUCUAGUUUGCUCGCUGCUGAGACUCUGGCACCAACAGAAUCCCUGGAACCAUGAGACGCACCAUCCUAGUUGUUGGGCCAGUGAGCGACUUUUGCCUGAAACCUGAGUGAGGCAGAAUGCUAGAAGCACAGAGAGAGAGAGGCUCCUGUGGCUGUUUGUCGCUCAAAGAGGCUCCAGUCUGCUCCCCAGGAAUCCUUUAAGGAUUUGACCUUCAUCAAAGCUGCUGCAGGUCCAUCAGCUUCGUUCCCCUGGAACUAAAGAGCCUUGUAAGAACUUCACGAGGACCAUUCAUCCAGGGAGUCCUCAACCUCAGUUCUCACAGACAGAAGAUGGAGAUCUGAGAGGCUUACAGGAGAAAAAGUUAAGGAGCCCGUCAAGAAGAGGAUGGACAGACCAAAGAAAACAGCCCACGGCAGCAGACACCUGAGAUACAGCCUGGAAAUCUCUGGGAGGACAGGGCUCGGUGCUGAGAUGAAGAUGCUCAAGACACGUCCACGGGAUGAGCAAACGUGCUCGCUUCCGAGGUCCUCUCCACCCGCCGGCGUGUCCCAGCCUACAAACGACUGUUCUCGCACGCUGGGGUCUCUCUCCAUCCCCCUCUCUCUCUGUCUGUCUCCCACUCUCUCCAUCUCUGCCUUUGUCUUUUUCUGUCUGUCUCUGUCUGUCUCUCUGUUUCUCUCAGAAUGGUGCUAACAAGGAGGGAGGGGUGGAGGAUUGAAACCUGCUCCGUCAAAAUUAUUUGAUCUGUUUCCAUCUUUCCGUCGGGCCCCAGUGAACACCCCAUGAGCUCUCUGCUGCCAUGUUAAUAUCCCGGGAGAUGCUAUCUGGUGGCCCACAUCUCAUGCCAGAGGCAACACCCGCUCCCAAAGAAUCCCAGCCCGCGUCCCACCCUUCUGAGAGAGGCAGAGCCCAUCUCCCUUGACGCCUGUGUGGCUGAGGCGGUUUUUUCUUGAACUCUGCACCUUGGGAACAUUUUUAUGUGCCUCUUGCCAAACCUGAAACUUGAUGUUGGGAUUGUUGGUGAUCCUCCAAGAGGCCGGGCCUCCAGUUCAGGCACCAGAACACACCUGGCCACUCCCAGAAGCUCUUUUCCCAAGUGCCAGGAAGCUGCACCUCGUCUUCGGGGUAGGAGCAGCUUGGGAGAAUGGCCCAGAAUCUUCCAGAAUCACUUUCAUUCUGUUAUCUUGAAACAAACACAUUAACCUGCAGAUGUGGCUACUGGGUGUAGCCUCUAUUGAGACUGAAUCAAUUGGCCCCCAGUGCAAACACAUCGUUAAAUGAAUAUGCACGUAACAUAUUCACUUAUAAUUGAUGUGUUUGCACGCUUUUCCCUGUCUUUUGCCACUCACCCUUUGUUUUAAAUAUCACUGACCGCCUGCCGACCAUGCCACUCCUCCAUGCACUAUUAUUGAGACAUGGAGUGAUUUAAAGAAACACAUAUAAACAUCUCCCUCUGACACACUGUUCGUUCCACCCGAAUCCCUUUAAGGAGACGUAUAUUCCUAUGGUUUAGAUCAUGUAAGUUACUUUUCCAUGCAUUGUCUUUUCUAAUAUUUAUUUAUUUGGAUUUAUUUGGCUGCGCAGGGCUGUGGUUGUGGCACUUGGAAUCUUUAGUUGCGGUGUGUGACCUCUUAGUCUCGGCACGCGGGAUCUGGCUCCCCGAGCAGGAACCGAACCCGGGGCCCCCUGCGUUGGGAGCGCAGAGUCUUAGGCACUGGGCCACCAGGCAAGUCCCUGGAUCAUAUACUUUAUUAAUGAAAAAGGCACAGUGAGAAAACUGGCUCUGCGUGUUCAUCUGCAGAGGGUAACUCUGCGGGGAGGGGUUUAAGAGGAGGCACGACUGAGACUAUUUCUCAUCUUCCGUCAGGACAUUCAAUGCCUGGGCCGGAUGGUGAGGAUGGGUGGGCAGUCAGGCGCCGAGUAUGAAGGCAGAGCUCACCGCAGCCAAGGGGCCGUAUUCUACACAGGAGCCCCAUCCUCAAGGGGUCCGCAGAAGCUUCUGGAACAUUCGCUGGUGGAGAUCACUGUGGGCACACAAGGGGCCAGGGGAGGGGUGUCAGCAGCUUCUUUCCCGAUUCAGUUUUGUGUCCCUGUUGAGCUCCACCUCCUCUCCCACCCCUGCUCUAUCCCCGCCAGGUCCAUGCUCUGCUUCUCUCUUCUUGCGUCUAGGCUCCAGGAGGCAGAGAUGAGCAUGUGGGCGAGCUCCCCAAGCCCGCUGGGUUCCAUGUGGGUCAGGCCUCUGAGUAACACUGGGUGGGGGGUGGGGUGUGUGUGUGCGCCUGUCUCCCUCCCCUCGGGAUCACUUGUGUUCUUGACUGAAGGUUAGGGCUAGAGUCAGAGUCAGGCUGCCCUGUCAAUCAGCCUUCUCCCUUCCCCCCACUCCUCCCUUCUCAUCUCUGCCUGUAUCUCCUUGUCUGUCCCCAUCUGUUUCUCCCUCUCCUCCCCCUUCUUCUCUGAGUCUUGGAAUCACAUGCCCUUCCCUUGCAUUUCCCGGCAGCAGGAAGUGGUCCUGGCUCCCUGGGGGUGGAAGCCCCAGGAAGCUACACUUGGCCUUCAGGCUCCUCUGUACCCUGUGUUCCUGUGCCUUGUCAGCAUUCCCUUUCUCAAAACUCCUCUUGGUUCCCCAGGUCCACUCCUUCUUGCCAGGACCCAAGAGACACAGAGUUGUGGGUCAGAUGUGAGUCACAUGGCUGUGCUUCUCCCAGGUGCCCGGAGGUCCCCCACCCCCGGAGCAGGGCCUCCUUUGCCAUACCUCACCAGGACCUCACUGCCUUCCCCAGCCACCCCACAAACUCUGGACCCCCGAAUGAGAGCUGAGCUACGUGAAGGGGCAGAGUGCAGACCCUGUGGGUUACAACAUGCUUCCUCCUGGGGUCCCCAGUCAAGGGGGAUGACGCAACAUUUCAUCAGGUUAAGUGAUGAGGCGGCUACCCAGUGUUAGCUCUCAUCAGGCUCUCUAAGGCUGAGGAGGCUGUAUGAAAGCACCUUGAAAGUCGUCAUGCAGUAACCCAGUGGACGUGCGCCCAUCUGGCUGGUGUAGCGGCAGCCUCCCAACUAGGCGGGGAGGUCUUGGGUCAGGAAGGUGGCUUUUGUGUAGUUUGCUGCCCCUCUGCAGGGUCUGCCCUCGUGCCAUACGUGCACCCAAGAGCUUGGGAAAUGAUGCCUGCUCCACAGCGACUAUUCAGCUUGUGAUUUUUGAAGGAAGGCAAGACAGUCUUCUGGGACUUCCUAGAGGAAGGCAAAGAGUACCUACCCAUGUCUAAACUCUUAAAAGUAGAGGCCAUUACUUUGCCUAAUUCUAGAAUUAUAUCACAAAUUCUGUACAAAUCAUAUUUAAAUGGAUAGUCCUAACAUAAAUGACUCUGAAGGGAAUACAUCAGGUAGUAUAGGUUGACUGGCUCCGCUCCUUCAAUUAUAUCUGUUUCCGCUAUAGAAGCUGAUUAUGCAAAAAAAAAAAAAAAAAGUCACUUUGCUCAUUCAGUAUUCUUAGGGCUAGGAAUGGCUUUGUGACUCAUUUCUCAAAAGUAAAAUAAACAUUCCAAUGGUACCGUCAAUUUCCCUUUUGUUUUUACCAUCUUGGAAUGCAAACAUGAUGGCUGGAACUUCAGCAGCAAACCUUGGGAAGAGGAGGCGAUAGCAAGGAGGGAAAGAUGAGAAUUGCAGAGACAGUGAGGUGUUGACCUUGAUACUUGUAAGCCACUGAACUACUGAGAUCAAUCAGCUACCUCCAGAAUUGUUUGUGCAUUUGUGUGUGUGUGUGUGUGUGAGAGAGAGAGAGAGAACUACUUGUAAGCCACUGAACUACUGAGAUCAAUCAACUACCUCCAGAAUUGUUUGUGCAUUUGUGUGUGUGUGUGUGUGUGUGUGUGUGUGUGUGUGUGUGUGAGACAGAACAUUAACCUUUCUUUAUUGUUGUUUAGCAGCUCAGUCGUGACCAACUCUUUUGUGAUCCCAUGGACUGUAGCCCCCCAGGCUCCCCUGUCCACGGGAUCUCCCAGAAUACUGGAGUGGGUUGCUGUUUCCUUCUCCAGGGGAUCUUCCUGACCCAGGGAUCAAACUUGAGUCUCCUGCAUUGGCAGGCAAAUUCUUUACUGAUGGGCCAUCAGGGAAGCUUGCUGCUGCUGCUGCUGCUAAGUCGCUUCAGUCAUGUCCGACUCUGUGUGACCCCAUAGACGGCAGCCCACCAGGCUCCCCCAUCCCUGGGAUUCUCCAGGCAAGAACACUGGAGUGGGUUGCCAUUUCCUUCUCCAGUGCAGGAAAGUGAAAAGUGAAAGUGAAAUCGCUCAGUUGUGCCUGACUCUUAGCGACCCCAUGGACUGCAGCCCACCAGGCUCCUCCGUCCGUGGGAUUUUCCAGUACUCUUGCCUGGAAAAUCCCAUGGACGGAGGAGAAGACUAAAUCCCCAUUAAUUAAUUAUUCUGUUUCUUGUAGCCAAAGAUAGCCCUAUCUGGUACAGUCAAAAAUGUGUUGAUAAAAUAAAAUUACUUCUCUUUCUCCAACACCUCAUUGGCUUUUCACGUUGAAAUCUGCAUAGGGCAGUUUUCUAAGUGAGAGGGUUCGUUCAGGAUUAAUUCAAGCCUGUUUGACCCACCACCCUGCCAAAUGCCCGUGACCCCCUUUCACUCUCUUCUUAGCAGCUCUUGAGCCCCUUGAGAGCAGAUGCCACGUGACAUUUACAUCCCUAGGGAUCAACACCACAGUUUUCAUGUAACUGGCAUUGGAUUAAAGAUGGGCCCUGAAGAAAGAAAAUAAGCUUCAUAAGGUCCAGAGAGGGCGGUACAGUAACUACCACUUAUUGAGGGACUAAUACAUGCAAACGUUUUCCAGUCCUCAUUUCAGACACAUCAUAAAGUAUCUGUAGCCCCAUUUUACAGAUGAAAAUCCUGACGCUCAAAGAGUUUGCAUAGUUUGGCCUGGAUCCUGAAGCUUAUAAAUGACACAGAGAAAAUGUGAACCCCUAGCUCCCCCAUAGACGUCUUCCCUGUGAGACGAACAGUUCAGAGCGUGGAAACCACCGCGGGGACUUUGUUUUUCUCACCUCAGCAUCUGAAGACAUCAGCAGACCUAGCCAGGUGCCGACCAGCCUUGACACAGACUCUGAGUGAAACCUUCAAAGGGUCUAGAAUUCAAUCCCCGGCAGGUUCCGAGGAGGACGGUCUGGGGCUUUGGAGAAAGCGGCCUUUUCCACCGUCUCAUUUGCAUGCUGGAUGUCUACUGAAAGUUGCUAUGGUGAUCCGUUUGACCAGAAGUUUCCGCUGAAUCAUCCCAACACAUAUAUGAAAACAGAGAUGUGGUUUGGGGACCCAGGGCCCGCAGCCGGGGGAGACGCUUCCAUCUUUCACUUGUGACUCACUCGUGGUCGUGCGUAGGCCCAGCUGGAAGGGAGGCGAGACCUCUGGGGCAGGUGUCGCUCCCCGGAGAGUUUUUGCACGGCAGGGCUCACGCAGUCAGUCCCCUCUGGGGACGCAAAGAGUGGAGCAGGAAAGGAGGAGCAGCACCCGAGAGAUGCCCUGUUCCCCCGGCUUAUUCCAGGGCUCAGGUCCUCUGGGUAGACGUCUCUGUUUGGAGACAUCCCCCAUGCCCCCUCACCAACAGCCAAGGCCGCCGUGGGUGCCUGGGUUCAGGAGGUCCAUCUGGGAGCCGACCUGAAAAGGCAGGAGGGGAGGGGGCUCUGAACCGGAGGGGAGGGAGGACCUUACCUGAGUGCUGCGGAUGCUUCUGUGGGCGGUGACCCGCUUCAGGACCUGUCUCUAGGGUAGUUGGCCAAGGGACAGAGUGCCUGGGAGCAGACAGGCUUCUGUUCAGGUCUUUUCUCUCCUCAGGGCAAUCCUGGUCUCUGGCCUUGGCAAACAUCUGAACUUUGACCUUGAUUUCCCUGUGUGCAGAAAUGUAGAAAAGAGUACCUCAUUUGACCUAAGGAAAAAAAAAAAGCACAUCCACAGUGGAGCCUGGUGCAGAGUAUUGCAUGCAAGGGCUGUUCGAGACUGGUGCAGAACAUGGCUUUCCUCAUUGGACCCUGAGACAAGGAGAUGCCCUCUGGCCCCAGAGAGCACCCCAGCUGAGCCCACGUGGUGCAGAAGUCCCCAGGAGGCUGACCAGGGAAACCCGUGGACCAUCUCACCUCCACAGAGUGACUUUUCCUGUUAACUCCCAGACUCCAGGCCAACUGGAACCUGGCUCAUUAGCGCCGUGCAACCAAACAGCAGCUGGGGAGGAGGUCUCUCUGGUACAUGAUUUUCUUUCUCUCUCAGCCACAGAACUUCCUCCAAGGAACAGGCACUCAACCUUCCGUUCUCAGAAGCGAAAACAAGCCGAGUCACACAUUUCUAUGAAUUCGCUCAGAAAGCCGAUGAUCAGUAAUAACACUAAACACGAGCGUCAGACUCAUCACAGAUCUCACCUGGAAGGGAGCCUCCCGGGGAAGAGGGGAGCUCCCGUCUCAGCUAAGUCACCAUCUCAGUGGGGACAAGGAAGAGGAGGGGGUCAUUCAUCUCUUGCAAAGAGUAUAGACCAGGGCUCAGGAAGGUCAUGGUCUUCUCCCAGCCCCACCGCCCCGCUGUGGCUCAGGCAGGGCUUGCUCUGUGAAUGGGAAACUGAAAGCUCUGGGCCAGAGGGUUCUUAGCUGUCAUGAUAGGUCCCAGGUUGGUGGAUGACCGAUUGAAAUAAAGUGUUUCUACAAUGGGAGUGGUACCUCCAGCAGAUACACUGACUCCUCCCAGUGCCUCCCAAGUUGGAAAUAAGAAGGGAACCAAUUUUCAGCAGCCACGCGUCAAGCGCCGUGUGGGGGUCCUCCCACCUGCUCUGAAACAGAAGCAGCUUUGAUGGGCUCCACAUACAGGGUUAUAGACUUCUAAGAUGCAGGCCUGUGAUCCUCUGAUAUAGCUCUGACAUUUUACAGAGAGGAACGAUCCCUGAACAUCUCAUGCAGAAAGAUGAGUUAAGACAAAGUGUCAGUACCUACUCCCUUAGAACAAUGGAAAAGCCCCGCCCCGAGGAUGUCCUCUGUAGUGACCCCCCAACCCUGUAAGUUCUAUAAGGGUCCGUGGCUUUAACUUCAGAACAGCCCAGGGCUGACCCGGCCCUGCCGUUCUUUCUCACUCCCACCGAAUGUCUCCAUUCUCUGUGCCCGCACGACAACGUGAGCACAGUGUCAAGCCCCGGCUUUAUUAUUUUUUCCCCUGUGUCUUUUCUCCUUCCAUUGGUUUAGUGUGUGUAUUCUCUUCCCAAUUCCUGUUGCAUAACAUCAGAAUUGGUGCCAGACCUCUAUAGACAAGGAUUUGGCAAUAAGGGUGCUUGCAAUGAGACUGUGUCACUGUAUUUGGAGAAAUUAGGUGACCAGAGAGUUGGAUUUCAGUUCUAAUGGCUGGAAAAGAUCCGCAAGGUGCAGAACGAUGGGUGCGUUCAUCCGGUGGUGCCAGAGAACCCUAAACUGGGCUCAGAAGACACAGCUAUAAACCUUCAGGAAAACAUCCCAUUCCAUCCCAAACCGUCGGUUCUCACGGAACGGCGGGACAUCAGUGACAAUGAGCCAGUCGAGGUACACUUCUGUCUGUGAGGCGUGCCCCAUCAUGACGGAGCUUCAGGAAGGCUGGGUGAGGCUGUUUGGGAGAAAUUCUCUUCUUCCUCAAGUGGAGUGGGGUAAUCACAGGGAACUCCACAGGAAGUAGAUUCCCCCAGAGAGGUGAAUAGAUACCAGUGAGGGGGAAAAUGAAUAAAUAAUACUCGGUGAGAUUUGCAAUUCUGGAAAACCAAAACACAAAGUACACUCAGGGCUGGCAGCUGCGAGGCGCGUAUCCAAGUAAGAGCGUUACUUUUCUGUCGGAUUCUUCAGGGUGUUUUCUUAGAACAGGAGGAAAGUAACAGGAGUUCUUUUGGUCACCAAUAAGCUGUUUUACGUAUAUUCAGAGGGGCUUACGUUCUUAUUGUAUCUAAGAGGCAACGGUGUGCUUGUGCCUGGAAGAUACUGCAAAGAAGCUCAAAAAGCUACUGCUUCAGUGGCCUUUCGUGUGUCCCCUGGAGCUACUGAAAGAGAGUUGCAGCUUGUGCAUAAAAAUGGGAGGAUGGACAGACAGAUGGAUGAAUGAACAGGCAGAUGGAAUGAAACGUAGCGGGCCACAGUCCAUGGGGUCCCAAAGGGUCGGACGUGACUGAGCAACUGAGCACACUACCCAGGUAACACAAAGCCUGACACGGGACAAGCUUUCAGUGAGUAAAGAUCUGACACUUAAUGAUUUCAGUCAGGGUCAACUGGUCACUCCCUUUCAAGACUUGGGGAAACUCAGGGUCCCCUUACAUACUGGGGUAUUCCUUCCUUCAUCAAGACCCAGGGACUCAGAUGCGUCAUCUGUGUCUUCAUGCCACACUGAGGCAUAUGAGCAAGUCCUUGGGGGUAAUUUCAGGGUCCCCGCUCCUCAAGAUGGUUUCUGAAAAUCCUGCCAUUGGUAGGAUGAAAACCUAGAGUGGGCUGGAGGCCAGUGAAGGAAAGCAGGCCUUCUUCCAAGGCUCACAAGGAAGUCUAAAGAAAAACCCCAGCACUCUUGCUGACGACCUCCCCAUUCCUGGCUCAGCUGUCCCCAGCAGGGGAGGUGUCCCCGUGGCCAGAAUCACCACAAGUCCCUCAUUUUCAAGCGCAUUAACCUCAGAGCCCCCAUAUUCGUGGAAAGAUGACACAAAAGAGACAGGAUUAGAACUAAAAAACAAGUCAGGUGUGCACGUGUUCAUUUUGCAGAGAGAUCUGUCCUUCCCUUAGUGCAGGUUUCUGUUUGAAUCAACCGAGAAGACGAUAGUUUAAGGCAAGGCGAUUGCCGGGGUUGCCACUGAGAUCGCCGCCGUCCUCUAGAGGAAAAGAGCCCACAGACUGUGUCACUAGCUCUGUGUACCUGGAGACAGUUCUGUCCCUCUUGGCCAAAGCCUUUCUGAAAAGUAUGCUGCCUUUGCUACUCUCUCACUGUGGUCCAAUUUGAGUCUAUUCCACAAGCUUUCCCGCAGGAGCACUGGAAGUCAGGUGCUGGUUGGAGGAGUUUGCUUGAACCAGGAAACAGAGGUGAAACAUAAGACCCCCUGGGUCAAGAUGCUGUCAGAAUCACGAGGGAAAACAGAGAGUCACAGGGCAAUUACAAAAGACUCGAGGAGGGACAGGAUCCUGGUGACAAAAAUGGUCUGCAUCCUGAAACCCAUAAACCUAUGCGUGUAAUAACAUUGCAUUUGAUUUCUUCCAGUUGCAUGUGGAUCUGCGGUUGCCUUGAAUUUUUUAAAAAGUCAAACAGAUAUGGAUAAUUUCCACACACAGUUACAGACCUCAUGCCAGUAUCGGAGCACUGAGUGGAAAUACACCAUCUCACUUGGAUUAGGGAGAAGCAGCCAAAGAAGGUCUCCCACGGAAGGGGACCUCAGCACAGGUCAUUUGGCUGUUGAAGAAACUGGAGCACUCGUCCUACGGAAUUGCCCAUAUUCCGGGUGUGAAUGAAUGCUUCUCCGUGGGGCUCAUUUCUCUCUCCUCUGUGUUUCAUGAUAGCAGUAGUGUGGCACCAUUGUCAGGCUCACCGUCAUCACGUUUCUACCCCAUGGUCCCAGCAUUGUUGGAAAGGUGGGAGUGUGGACGAUCGAGUGCUAGCUUCUCGAAGUCUAAUUCCCCCAUCAUGUAACUUAAAACCAAGCCUUUCCUCCCCGCCACGUAGAACAAGGACCGCAAUCUGCCGUUGGCACUCAGGUUGGGAAAGUGAUUCUGGUACAAAGACAAUGCACGGACUUGUGCAAUGGCCAAGCAGGGCCAGCCCUGCAGCUGCCCUCAGAGCAGGCAGUUUCUGGAAACAGACCUUUCUGACGGUAAUAAGACAGUCGGAGCGUGAACUUUGCCGCCACGCCUUGAACCACUCACCAGCUGAGAGACCUUGGAGACUCUCCGUAAUGUUUCCACGCCUUAGCUUCCUUCUGAGCUAAACAGAAAGAGCAGCAUGUGUCUCCGUGGGCUACUGUGAAAAGCCAGGGCGUUAAAGCCAAGGGCAAGCCCUGGAACUCAGACAGGGCCAGCAGUUGAGGCCCCAUCGAACGCCAAAGACCAAGACUCAGAGAGCACGUCAAGGACUCAGAGAUGACACAGGGAAGAAGUAGCAGCAGCCACCACACCGUGUGCUCCCAAAGCCCCAGAGGCCUUGAAUGAGAGGUCAGGAUACACCCGUGCGUGUAUAAAUAGGGUUCAAAAACACAAGCCCGCAAAACAGAGGACGGGGAGCACAAUGAGAAGGGGCCUGGGGCCAGCCUUGGCGAGUCACCGGCGUCCUGUGUCUGCUGGGGAGACCCGGGAAGUUACUCGGUGCACGAGAGCAGACAGACUGCGGCUCCCGGAGGUGGAGGGCGGUGCCUGAUGUGGACUCAAGGUUCCAGCUCCCAGGGCACAUGGCUGCUAAAUGCCACUGGACCGGGACCUAAGAAUCACCCCAGACCCAGGGGGAGGAAGGAAAGUGACCGAAACUCUACGGAGUCUGUCCCCUGACGUCUCCUGCACGGAAGACAUAGCCUGAACCAACACUGUCCCAGUAUCAUGUCCGUUUCUAUAUUCCUGCUUUUUGUAAAAAAUCAGUUCUGACUUCAGCAUGAUAAAUCUUCGAAGGGCUGAAUGCUUUCGGGACAAAUUCCCUCCGUGGUGUAGCUCUGUGAAUAGGAUCAAAAAGGGUAUAACGAUGGAAUGUUGAAUUGCAAGUGGUUCCUAGAUAAAGGGGAAAAAAAAGCUAAGGGAGGUAUCUAUGUUCUGGAAAAAAAGGAAAGAAGGAAAAAAGAAAAGAGAUAAAGAGACAAGCAUGGGAAUCUGUUGAUUUGGAAUGGCGAGAAUAGGAAAGAGGCCUCUAAUUUUGAAUCUCUCUCUGGUGCCUAAACGCCAAAGAAGUCCUUUCGCUCAAAUGCUGGUGUAUGUACAGAGCUGUUGAUUAAUCCCGAUCAGAUGCUGGUGUAUGCACAGAGCUGUUUAGUAAUCCCCUCCCGUCCACCAGGCCUCACUGGGUGUCUUGGUUGGGUGAGGAAAGGACAGGAGCUGGAGUAAAUCUGGGGAGGCCGUCCUAGGAAUUCUCACUAGAGAGAACAUCUGGCUCUCCCACAUCUCUGGUGCAAAACAAACAAGAACCUGCCUAAAUGAUGUGUACUGUGUUCUAAGGUAGAGCCCUUUGGGAGCCUGAUACAAAUAAACAAAACAAACAACAUAAACAAACCCCAAACGCUGGCAAUGAGAUACACUUGCAACCAUGGUCUUUCACAAAGGCACAGAUGACGAGUUGCAGGGGUUUUGUUUUCAGAAUCCACUUUCCAGUAAGCAAUCUGAACAGUGUAUGAAGACCCCAGACCCUUCUUCUGCCCUUUCCCCUCUGCCCCCCACCAGGCACAACCCCCCAUCAACAUGGUACCCCCCCAGAGAAACCUCCAAAUCUGAUUUGUCUAUUUUUUGCUCUCUCCUCAUGAUUACUCCCCUCCCCUUAAAGCCUGGCUUCCCUGAAACCAAAUGUGAGCCAUUCUCUAACUGCACUGGAAAAUCAGAAUUUAUUAUACAUAUGUUUGUGUUCCACUUAAUAAAAAAACCUAUAUUUUAAGAUAAACUUUGUUAGUAAUUCAUGAGGUAAGUGACUAUUUAUGCUAAUCAGGC
ensembl:lncRNA